UAUUCCUAUCCAGUGAAAAAAAACAUAUUUUUCUGCUUUAAUCAAUGGGGUGAGGUGACCAAUGAAGUUAAAAUCAAAUUAGGAAUUGCAUUUAGCUUGAAAAUUAUUUAGGUUUUCUACUAUGGGUGACUUGCACCAGCAAACAACUCAUAGAGUUACUGAUAUUUGUAAGGUGAAAGAACAUGUUUGUAGGAUUUUACAUUACAUUUAGAAUGACAAAGUACAACUAAUAACAUUCAAGAUACACAUUGAUGAUGCAUGUACUCAUCAACACUCUAGCAAAAAAAAUUGUCAUUUUGUUUUCCAAUAGGCUACAUACCAAAGAAUUCUAGUCAGGUAUAGAAAAUCCUACCUGUGCUAAAUUGAAUGCAAAUGCUCAGAAUAAUUAUUUUGAUGUUAUGUGGUACAACAACUUUCAGCUUCUUUUACAUUCAUGUUCUAUUUAUUCUGGGUAAAUUACAUACUUACAAAUCAAAAUAAUAUACUCCAAGUCUUGUUUAAAUCAUUUUACAAUGAACUUAAGUUGAAAAUGUGAGGAGCCACAAAGCAGUAACAGGAGCAGCACUUAAAAAGGAAAAAGAAAAAAAAACUUUUUAUCUGAUUUAUAAGCAGUUACAAAUUUAUUGUACCCUCUUCUGUAGUAGUAAACAUUUACAUUUUAAUUUCUAGAUAAAGUUUACAGAAAAAAACAAAACUCAUCACAUAAGCACCUUUUGACAAAAUCAGUCAGUUGGACUUUUUUUUUUAUCUAUACUGAAGUUCUUGAUGUUGACUUCUUUUGACCAAUUGUUCCACUUCAACAUUUUUUUCUAAUUUUCAAUAUUUGUCUCAAAAGCGAGAAAGACCAGUUUGUAUAUACAUUUUUCAUUUUGUAGAUUGUUUAUUAAGUUUACUGUGAAAAAAUGAGCUCCACAUUUACUAAAUGACUUGAUAAUUACAGUUGAAAAAAAAACAUAGAAAAACAAAGAAACGAAGAAUUAAUAAUAGUAAAACAAACAAAACAAAAAAGUUAAGAACAAUUCUUAAUUCUUUCUGCGCCAUUUUAGUUGGAUAAUAUAUAUCAAGAAACUUGAGAGGCUACAAUCCUAAGAUGUCUUAUGCAGACCCAGCCUGAGGAUAUUGUCAGGCAGUGGAAGGAGCACUUCGAGGAUCUCAAUCUAGUUCCCAUGUUCUAUGUGGUGGAGGCAGAGCCAGAGGACUCAGGAGAAUGUAACUCCAUCACUGUUGCAGAGCCAGGUGUGGAUGAGGUUCAGUCUGAGACACUGAAGACUUUGUGAGGCUAUCAUGGGUAACACUGCUCUUCAAUGUCACAUGGAAGACUGGGACAACACAGCUGGAAUGGCAGACUUGGGUGGAUGUCCCAAUUUUUAGAAAAGGUUCCAGAUAAUUUUUUAACUAUUGCGGGAUAACCCUUCUCAACAUCCCUGUGUUGAGACCCCAGCCAUGGGUUAAAACAUUAAAGGCCUGUUCGAGUAUCUGGCAUUCAUUCAGAUAAAGGGUGUAAUGAGACAAGUGUGACUUGACGUUUCUUCUGAGGCCUCCAGCGGCAGCCCUAAUCGCAGCGGAUUUUCCCCACGGCCUGGAGGCUGGAACCACAUUGCACGCCUUCUUGGGUGCACGUCCAGGUAGCGAGAGCUACACCGCCGCAUCAUGGCCACUCAUGGAGCCGAACAUACCUUUGUCGUACGGUUUGGCCAGGCCAGCUAAAAGCCCUUCCCGAAGGUUAGCUGCAAGCUAACCCUUUGUUUACCAACACGUGGAUGUUUUCCUCAACACCCAGGGCAACUUCUCCUCAGCACAGUUCAUGAACAACGUGGGCAGAGCGAUCAGGAGACAGACUGCAAAAGAAGAACAGAGGUGAGCGGAGGAACAGAUUGGAAUAUUCAAACAAAAACCUAUGCUCACUUUCCGGAAAGCGAUCAAUC